rnacentral:rRNA from 1 species
ACGCUCGACACCUACGGGNGGCAGCAGUGGGGAAUAUUGCACAAUGGGGGAAACCCUGAUGCAGCGACGCCGCGUGAGUGAAGAAGUAUUUCGGUAUGUAAAGCUCUAUCAGCAGGGAAGAAAAUGACGGUACCUGACUAAGAAGCCCCGGCUAACUACGUGCCUGCAGCCGCGGUAAUCUGAGCGGCUGGCAAGGC